UACGUAGGGUGCAAGCGUUGUCCGGAAUUACUGGGCGUAAAGAGCUCGUUAGGCGGUUUGUCGCGUCGUCUGUGAAAUCCCGCAGCUCAACUGCGGGCUUGCAGGCGAUACGGGCAGACUUGAGUACUGCAGGGGAGACUGGAAUUCCUGGUGUAGCGGUGGAAUGCGCAGAUAUCAGGAGGAACACCGGUGGCGAAGGCGGGUCUCUGGGCCGAUACUGACGCUGAGGAGCGAAAGCGUGGGGAGCGAACAGG
rnacentral:rRNA from 1 species